CGGGACUACAAUCCCGAUAUCCUGUCGGGACCGGUACUGACGAACAGGAACCGUAUACAGAGGCAUAUUUACUUGGGUAAGCAAGCACAUCAUUGUAACGCCCUAAGAAUACCAAAAGUGUAUUAAUGUAGAUACGGCAGUGAUCGGGGGAAAGAAGAUGUU
rnacentral:ncRNA from 2 species